CACAGGGGAUGCAAGCGUUACUCGGAAUUACUGGGCGUAAAGCGUCUGCAGGUUUCCUUCCACGUCUGGUGUAAAAGCACUGGGGCCCAACCCCGUGUACGUACCGGAAACGAGAGGGAUCGAGUCACUCAGAGGCAUCUGGAAUGUCGUGUGUAGGGGUAAAAUCCGUAGAUCCACGAUGGAACGCCAAAAGCGAAGGCAGGAUGCUGGGGGUGUACUGACACUCAGAGACGAAAGCGUGGGGAGCAAAGGGG
rnacentral:rRNA from 1 species